AUUGAACGCUGGCGGCAGGCCUAACACAUGCAAGUCGAGCGGAGCGGCGGACGGGGGAGUAAUACCUAGGAAUCUGCCUGGUAGUGGGGGAUAACGUCCGGAAACGGGCGCUGUUACCGCAAACUAUUAGAUGAGCCUAGGUCGGAAUAGCUAGUUGGUGGGGUAAAGGCCUACCAAUGCGACGAUCCGUAACUGGUCUGAGAGGAUGAUCAGUCACACUGGAACUGAGACACGGUCCAGACUCCUACGGGAGGCAGCAGUGGGGAAGAUUGGACAAUGGGCGAAAGCCUGAUCCAGCCAUGCCGCGUGUGUGAAGAAGGUCUUCGGAUUGUAAAGUACUUUAAGUUGGGAGGCGUUACCAACAGAAUAAGCACCGGCUAACUCCGUGCCAGCAGCCGCGGUAAUAC
rnacentral:rRNA from 1 species